CCUACGGGUGGCAGCAGUAGGGAAUAUUGCUCAAUGGGGGAAACCCUGAACCAGCAACGCCGCGUGGAGGCUGACGGUUUUAGGAUUGUAAACUCCUUUUGUGAGAGAAGAAAAUGCCGGUAUCUCUCGAUUAAGCACCGGCUAACUUCGUACAAGCAGCCGCGGUAAUAAGGAGGGUGCCAGCGUUAAUUGGAAUAACUGGGCGUAAAGCGUGAGCAGGCGGGCUUGUAAGUCAGAUGUGAAAUUCUGGAGCUUAACCACAGAACUGCAGUUGAAACUGUUAGUCUUGAGUGCGAGAGAGGUAGGCGGAAUUCGUGGUGUAGGGGUAAAAUCCGUAGAUAUCAAGAGGAAAACUGAUUGCGAAGGC
rnacentral:rRNA from 1 species